CAGCCGUAAACUAUGCUCGCUAGGUGUCAGGCAUGGCGCGACCGUGUCUGGUGCCGCAGGGAAGCCGUGAAGCGAGCCACCUGGGAAGUACGGCCGCAAGGCUGAACUUAAGGAAUUGGCGGGGGAGCACAACAACGGGUGGAGCCUGCGGUUUAAUUGGACUCAACGCCGGACAACUCACCGGGAACGACAGCAAUAUGUAGGCCAGGCUGAAGACUCUGCAUGACUAGCUGAGAGGAGGUGCAUGGCGUAGACGUCU
rnacentral:rRNA from 1 species